GGUAUGAAAGGGUUAACGAAGAAGGUGCUGUGUCUAAAAAUUCAAUUUAAACUAACUUUAAGGUGAAGAGGCCUUUAUGUAAAAGAAGGACGACAAGACCCUAUGAAGCUUUAUCUUAAUUGGAGCUUUCAGGCUCUUAUACGAUUUUGAUGGGAGAUCAGUAGAAAUAAGUCUUCUACUAUCAUAUUAAUCUUACUAGUAUUUCCUGACUUUAUAUGUGUGGCUAGCUACUCUAGGGAUAACAGCGCAAUUUCUCCCGAAAGAUGGUAUUGGAGGGGAAGAUUGCGACCUCGAUGUUGGCUUUAGAUAUCCUAGAGGCGUAGAAGCUUCU
rnacentral:rRNA from 1 species